UACAGAGGUGCCCAAGCGUUGUUCGGAUUCAUUGGGCGUAAAGGGUGCGUAGGCGGCUGCGGUAAGUCGGUGUGAAAUCUCGGAGCUUACUCCGAAACUGCAUUCGAUACGUGCAGUGACUUGAGGACUGGAGAGGAGACUGGAAUUUACGGUGUAGCGGUGAAAUGCGUGAGAUAUCGUAAGGAAGACCAGUGGCGAAGGCGGGGUCUC
rnacentral:rRNA from 1 species